rnacentral:rRNA from 1 species
UACGUAGGGCGCAAGCGUUGUCCGGAAUUAUUGGGCGUAAAGAGCUCGUAGGCGGCUUGUCACGUCGGAUGUGAAAGCCCGAGGCUUAACCUCGGGUCUGCAUUCGAUACGGGCUAGCUAGAGUGUGGUAGGGGAGAUCGGAAUUCCUGGUGUAGCGGUGAAAUGCGCAGAUAUCAGGAGGAACACCGAUGGCGAAGGCGGAUCUCUGGGCCAUUACUGACGCUGAGGAGCGAAAGCGUGGGGAGCGAACAGG